CAACCUGCCCACCACUUGGGGAUAACCUUGCGAAAGUAAGACUAAUACCCAGUGACGUCUCUAGAAGACAUCUGAAGGAGAUUAAAGAUUUAUCGGUGAUGGAUGGGGAUGCGUCUGAUUAGCUUGUUGGCGGGGUAACGGCCCACCAAGGCGACGAUCAGUAGGGGUUCUGAGAGGAAGGUCCCCCACAUUGGAACUGAGACACGGUCCAAACUCCUACGGGAGGCAGCAGUGAGGAAUAUUGGUCAAUGGGCGAGAGCCUGAACCAGCCAAGUAGCGUGCAGGAUGACGGCCCUAUGGGUUGUAAACUGCUUUUAUAAGGGAAUAAAGUGAGUCUCGUGAGACUUUUUGCAUGUACCUUAUGAAUAAGGACCGGCUAAUUCCGUGCCAGCAGCCGCGGUAAUACGGAAGGUCCGGGCGUUAUCCGGAUUUAUUGGGUUUAAAGGGAGCGUAGGCCGGAGAUUAAGCGUGUUGUGAAAUGUAGACGCUCAACGUCUGCACUGCAGCGCGAACUGGUUUCCUUGAGUACGCACAAAGUGGGCGGAAUUCGUGGUGUAGCGGUGAAAUGCUUAGAUAUCACGAAGAACUCCGAUUG
rnacentral:rRNA from 1 species